rnacentral:rRNA from 1 species
AUUGAACGCUGGCGGCAGGCCUAACACAUGCAAGUCGAGCGGAUGAAGGGAGCUUGCUCCUGGCUUCAGCGGCGGACGGGUGAGUAAUGCCUAGGAAUCUGCCUGGUCGUGGGGGAUAACGUCCGGUAACGGGCGCUAAUACCGCAUACGUCCUGAGGGUGAACGUGGGGGAUCUUCGGACCUCACGCUAUCAGAUGAGCCUAGGUCGGAUUAGCUAGUUGGUGAGGUAAAGGCCUACCAAGGCGACGAUCCGUAACUGGUCUGAGAGGAUGAUCAGUCACACUGGAACUGAGACACGGUCCAGACUCCUACGGGAGGCAGCAGUGGGGAAUAUUGGACAAUGGGCGAAAGCCUGAUCCAGCCAUGCCGCGUGUGUGAAGAAGGUCUUCGGAUUGUAAAGCACUGUUAGUUGGGAAGAAGGGCAGUAAGAGAAUACCUUGCUGUUUUGACGUUACCAACAGAAUAAGCACCGGCUAACUUCGUG